CACCGGCGGCUCGAGUGGUGGCCACUUUUAUUGGGUCUAAAGCGUCCGUAGCCGGCUUGGCAAGUCCCCUGGGAAAUCUGGCGGCUUAACCGUCAGGCGUCCAGAGGAUACUGCCAGGCUUGGGACCGGGAGAGGUGAGAGGUACCUCAGGGGUAGGGGUGAAAUCUUGUGAUCCCUGAGGGACCACCAGUGGCGAAAGCGUCUCACUAGAACGGGUCCGACGGUCAGGGACGAAAGCUGGGGGCACGAACCGG
rnacentral:rRNA from 1 species